rnacentral:rRNA from 1 species
AGUGAACGCUGGCGGUAGGCCUAACACAUGCAAGUCGAACGGCAGCACAGUAAGAGCUUGCUCUUACGGGUGGCGAGUGGCGGACGGGUGAGGAAUACAUCGGAAUCUACUUUUUCGUGGGGGAUAACGUAGGGAAACUUACGCUAAUACCGCAUACGACCUACGGGUGAAAGCAGGGGAUCUUCGGACCUUGCGCGAUUGAAUGAGCCGAUGUCGGAUUAGCUAGUUGGCGGGGUAAAGGCCCACCAAGGCGACGAUCCGUAGCUGGUCUGAGAGGAUGGUCAACCACCCUGGAACUGAGAUACAGUCCAGACUCCUACGGGAGGCAAAAGUGGGGAAUAAUCGACAACGGGCGAAAGCCUAGUCCCGUCAUAGCGCGGGGGUUGAAAAGGCCUUCUGGUUGUAAAGGCCUUUUGUUCGGGAAGAAAAGUAACCAGUUUAUCCCCCGCUGUUCUGACGGUACCCAAAGAAUAAGCACCGGCUAACUUCGUG